AAAACUUUCAACAACGGAUCUCUUGGUUCUGGCAUCGAUGAAGAACGCAGCAAAAUGCGAUAAGUAAUGUGAAUUGCAGAAUUCAGUGAAUCAUCGAAUCUUUGAACGCACAUUGCGCCCGCCAGUAUUCUGGCGGGCAUGCCUGUUCGAGCGUCAUUUCAACCCUCAAGCCCUCGGGUUUGGUGUUGGGGAUCGGCGAGCCUUCCUGGCAAGCCGGCCCCGAAAUCUAGUGGCGGUCUCGCUGCAGCCUCCAUUGCGUAGUAGUAAAACCCUCGCAACUGGAACGCGGCGCGGCCAAACCGUUAAACCCCCAACUUCUGAAUGUUGACCUCGGAUCAGGUAGGAAUACCCGCUGAACUUAAGCAUAUCAAUAAGCGGAGGAAAAGAAACCAACAGGGAUUGCCCUAGUAACGGCGAGUGAAGCGGCAACAGCUCAAAUUUGAAAUCUGGCUCUCGGGCCCGAGUUGUAAUUUGUAGAGGAUGCUUUUGGUGAGGUGCCUUCCGAGUUCCCUGGAACGGGACGCCAUAGAGGGUGAGAGCCCCGUCUGGUUGGACACCGAUCCUCUGUAAAGCUCCUUCGACGAGUCGAGUAGUUUGGGAAUGCUGCUCUAAAUGGGAGGUAUAUGUCUUCUAAAGCUAAAUACCGGCCAGAGACCGAUAGCGCACAAGUAGAGUGAUCGAAAGAUGAAAAGAACUUUGAAAAGAGAGUUAAAAAGUACGUGAAAUUGUUGAAAGGGAAGCGCUUGUGACCAGACUUGGGCUUGGUUGAUCAUCCGGGGUUCUCCCCGGUGCACUCUUCCGGCUCAGGCCAGCAUCAGUUCGCCCUGGGGGAUAAAGGCUUCGGGAAUGUGGCUCUCUCCGGGGAGUGUUAUAGCCCGCUGCGUAAUACCCUGUGGCGGACUGAGGUUCGCGCAUUCGCAAGGAUGCUGGCGUAAUGGUCAUCAGUGACCCGUCUUGAAACACGGACC
rnacentral:rRNA from 1 species